CCCCCCGCCAUGAGGGAUAAUGCGCGUUGAUUGGCUUUUCGUCCUAUCGCUCUUGACUGUGACCAAUCAGAGCCACAAGCGGUGACCAGACGGGCCGGGUGGGGGCGGGGCCUCGCCGCUCGGUGCCCGGCGUGCUGGGGCGCUGAGGUACUUCCCGCCCUCACUGCGCCGCAGCAGCUGAUAGUCUGUCCCUGCGCACCUCUUCUCCACCGGGAGAGCCCCCGGGAAAGCCAUUUCUCUUCCCAAAGGGAAACUUAGGCCAGUUUCCCAGAGGGUCUGAUGGCACGAAAAGGCUGAGGAGCCUCAAGGCUGGCCCAGUGCCUCUGAGAAGCGGGUGAAGUCAUGGCCUGUUGCUUUGAUAAGAGGUGCUGUUCUCCUCCUGUUGGCUUCAGGUGACUCAGCAGUAGUAUGUGGCUGACAUUAAAUUAGAGUCACGUUUACGUAACACGUCAUAGUUUCGACGAGCUGUAACCACAGAGCUGAUGGGAGACUGGGGGGGUGUUUUUUACCUCAGAAGGUUCUCUGUUGGGACUGCCCACGCAGCCGAGAAGCAACUGAAGGGACUCUGCUUUCUUUUUGAGCUGCUUAAAACACACAGAUGGAAUGAGUGCCCAUGUGCAAGCUUUGGUAGCAGAACAGCUUCAGGGGUUGGCCUUCAUGAGAAGAGACCUCCAUCUCCAACAGAGCCAGUGAUCUCUGAAAUACACCUGCUGCAGGAUAAAGAUCGAAAAGAAAUAUCUUCCUGGCAGCACUGCGUAUGGAAGGAAUAAGGAAAGUAACAAGGAGAAAGUUGCGCGCAUUUACAAAUUUCUCCUCUCUGUGUCUCAGAUGGAAGAGGUGGAGCAGUUGAGUUCUUCCUUAUUCUCCUUGUGCUGGACAGAACACAUCUCCAGGAGAUACCACCGCUGAUCAGCCUAUACGCUCUACUGGGAGAUGGUUGGAAGUACAAAGAGGGGAAAAAUAACCGGUGAAUACGUAACAGGAACAACUCGUUCUUGGAUUCAGAGCUGUCUGUGGACAAUCUGUAAGCCAGUGUUUUAAGUAAAAUAUGUGACUAAUGAUCCCUAUGAGGAGCAUGAAGUAAUUAAUACCUGGAGGUGAUAUACAAGGCUGAGGGAAAGUGGGAUGAAGGCGUAACAACAUGGGAGAAUGGCAGUGUUUGAGAAAAGCCCAC
ensembl:lncRNA